rnacentral:rRNA from 2 species
AGUCGAGCGGACAGAAGGGAGCUUGCUCCCGGAUGUUAGCGGCGGACGGGUGAGUAACACGUGGGUAACCUGCCUGUAAGACUGGGAUAACUCCGGGAAACCGGAGCUAAUACCGGAUAGUUCCUUGAACCGCAUGGUUCAAGGAUGAAAGACGGUUUCGGCUGUCACUUACAGAUGGACCCGCGGCGCAUUAGCUAGUUGGUGAGGUAACGGCUCACCAAGGCGACGAUGCGUAGCCGACCUGAGAGGGUGAUCGGCCACACUGGGACUGAGACACGGCCCAAACUCCUACGGGAGGCAGCAGUAGGGAAUCUUCCGCAAUGGACGAAAGUCUGACGGAGCAACGCCGCGUGAGUGAUGAAGGUUUUCGGAUCGUAAAGCUCUGUUGUUAGGGAAGAACAAGUGCAAGAGUAACUGCUUGCACCUUGACGGUACCUAACCAGAAAGCCACGGCUAACUACGUGCCAGCAGCCGCGGUAAUACGUAGGUGGCAAGCGUUGUCCGGAAUUAUUGGGCGUAAAGGGCUCGCAGGCGGUUUCUUAAGUCUGAUGUGAAAGCCCCCGGCUCAACCGGGGAGGGUGUUGGAAACUGGGAAACUUGAGUGCAGAAGAGGAGAGUGGAAUUCCACGUGUAGCGGGAAAUGCGUAAAGAUGUGUGAGAACACCAGUGGCGAAGACGACUCUCUGAGCUGUACCUGACGCUGAUGACGAAA